CUAUGCUAUCAGGUGGAUGGCUCGGCUCAAGAGCUGAUGAAGGACGUGCCAAGCUGCGAUAAGCCUGGGGUAGGCGCAAGGAGCCAAUGAACCCGGGAUCUCCGAAUGGGACCUCUCCAUAGUGAUCAGUAAUGAUCGGGAACGCUCCGAAUUGAAACAUCUCAGUAGGAGCAGGAAGAGAAAUCAACUGAGAUGCCGUGAGUAACGGCGAGUGAAACCGGCACAGUUCAAACCGAAUCCCCUUGGGGAAAUGUGGUGUUGCAGGGCUGUUCAAACGUCUGACGGCUAAGCAGAACUUGCCUGAAACGGCAGACCAUAGAGUGUGACAGUCACGUAUGUGUAAACCAAAAGACCGGAACAUGUCCCUGAGUACCGUGCGUUGGAUAUCGUGCGGGAAUCUGGGGGGCACCAACCUCCAAAACUAAAUACUCCUUGAGACCGAUAGCGAAAUAGUAGGGUGACCGAACGCUGAAAAGUACCCCGAGAAGGGAGGUGCAAAGUGCCUGAAACCUGGUAGUGAUGGAACGAUACGGCAUGAAAGGAUCUCUGGUACGAAGGAAACACUCGCGAGGGUGCAGUACGAGUACCACUGCCAGUGUCGUAUCUUACGUUUUGAAGAACGGGCCAGGGAGUGUGUUUUGGUGGCGAUGGCUAACCAUUAAAUUGGGCAGCCGAAGCGAAAGCAACAUGUGCGCAGCUCUUUUGAGUGAGGCACGGCGUAUACAAGUGCGUGGAGUCACCGGGACACGACCCGAAGCCGGGUGAUCUAGGCGUGGGCAGGUUGAAGCGUGGCGAAAGCUACGUGGAGGACCGCAAGCGGUGUUGAUCUGCAAAUCAUUCGCGUGACCUGCGUCUCGUAGUGAAAUGCUAAUCUAACCCGGCAUCAGCUGGUUCCUUCCGAAACAUGCCGCAGCAUGACCUGACUGGAGAUCGUCGGUGGAGUAGAGCACUGAUUGGCGGUUCCGGGGGGGAAACCCCUCGCCCGCUUGUCAAACUCCAAACCCACCGUCGUCUGAGAAGGUCGGAGUCCGGACUGCUGGGGUAAGCUUGUAGUCCGUAAGGGAGACAACCCAGCCCGUGGUUAAGGUCCCCAAGUGUCGACUAAGUGUUAACACUAAAGGGCGUCCCAAGCCCAAGACAGCUGGAAGGUUAGCUUAGAAGCAGCUAUCCUUUAAAGAGUGCGUAACAGCUCACCAGUCGAGGUUUGGGGCCCCGAAAAUUGACGGGGCUCAAG
rnacentral:rRNA from 2 species